rnacentral:rRNA from 1 species
UACGAAGGGGGCUAGCGUUGCUCGGAAUCACUGGGCGUAAAGGGUGCGUAGGCGGGUCUUUAAGUCAGGGGGUGAAAUCCUGGAGCUCAACUCCAGAACUGCCUUUGAUACUGAGGAUCUUGAGUCCGGGAGAGGUGAGUGGAACUGGCGAGUGUAGAGGUGAAAUUCGUAGAUAUUCGCAAGAACACCAGUGGCGAAGGCGGCUCACUGGCCCGGUACUGACGCUGAGGUGCGAAAGCGUGGGGAGCAAACAGG